ACGAGGAUCACCUGUUGCUCUGGCUGGUAGUAUCACGUAGGCGUCCCUCCGCUCAGUUCUAUCAAUAUUUGAUCUCGCUUGAGUCACAAACGGAUUCUUUCCGUUUUGUUUGGUGAUUGAGAUAUUUUCACGACACCACGGACAGACAGCUACAUUUCACAAGGCUAUUUUUCAACAAAAUGUCGAUCGUCAUUUAUUCGAAAAUGUGAAAAAAACGCACAGAUUUCCAAACGCGGAAGUACUUCGUUCUAAGUAGAAGCUGGAAGUGACAUGAGAAUUAAGUAUCUUGACGUAAAACACAUUAAAUUGGAUUGAUGUUUGGUUGUGCGACCAGCAACAGCUAGCUAGGAUUGCCCCUGUUGUGUGUGGUGUGGGGGGGGGGCGCUUUUCCAUGCGCGUGUUUGUGUUUAAAAUGAUUGGCCAACAACCAGGAAGUGCACUGUGCAGCAGCUCGACAGCGCCCUCCCACCCACGCCAUGGUCAUUGAGGUCUGGGCCUGCCUCGCUGCAGAUGUUUCCAGGCCACACAGGACAGGACAUGAGUUGACCCGCUCAACAGAUGGCGAGGACGGGAGGGAAGACGCUCACUUCCUCUGCUCUUGUCACCUUUGACCUUUCUGAGACGCCCACGUGCAGUGAUGGACAGUGCCGUCAGCGAGAGGACUCCGUCGCAUCCGUCACUUUCGUCUCGGGUCGAUACGCACCGCGAUGUGAGGAAAGAGAUAAAGGCUGGGAGGAAGUCUUAUUGAUCUUUGGCAUCAAACUACCUUCAGGAUUCACCACUGCAGAAAAUCCAAUUCUUCUUAUUGGCGGACAUGUUGGUUAAUGAGAUCACUCUUAUUCACUUUACCGCAGCGUAUUUUACUUUAAGAGACGGGCAAGGACCGGUUGGCUAAAUGUCACUCAAAGGAAAGCUUCCAAAGGAUACAGAAAAUAAAUAAGUAAAUAAUAAAUAAAGAGAUAAAGUUCCGUGACUCAAGCCACAAUCUACGAAAGAAUAGUGUUCAUAGUCGUAGCAAGUUGGAAAUUUCACGUUAUUAAUUACCAUUACUAAUAAGGUAGAGCUUCAAGUUGGAAUUUUAGGAGAAAAAAGGCUUUUGUACAAUAAAGUUCUAACAUCAACGGCAAAGAUUUUCAGGAAAAUUCUAGUCUUUUUUUGUUUAAAGUACUAUUAUUAAGUUGUAAUUAUUAGCAACAUAAUAAAGUUGUCAUUUUAUGAGGGGAAAAAAGUUACAUUUACCAUAAAGUUGUAACAUUAACAGAAAACAAAACUAAAAUCCCCAAACUACGCUCUUUUUCUUAAUUAAACACAGUGAGUGUUGAUCCAGUAAACAUACACAGCAGUGGUUCCCAGUGGUUACGUGAAAAAAAAAACAAUUAGCGCCUAAAACUCAAACUUACGAGUGUACCUGAACGCCUCACAGCGCGAGGAGACCGCAGACAGGAAAAAGACAGCGCGGCAAGUUGGUCCUUGCUCUUUGUGAUUCAUAUCAACAAAUAAGUAAGUUUGAAUGAUGACUUCGUCAUGACACAACUAGGAUAUUGGGGUUCGAUUCCCCGCUUGGGCAUCUCUGUGUGGAGUUUGCAUGUUCUCCCUGUGUAUGCGUGGGUUUUCUCCGGGUACUCCGGUUUCCUCCCACAUUCCAAAAACAUGCUAGGUUAAUUAGCCACUCCAAAUUGUCCAUUCACCCUAAAAUGAUACUUUAUUGUUGGUUGUAUGUAUUUCAGAUACUAUUAAAAAAGGGAGGUAGUGGUUAUUUUAGAGUUGGGACAUCAUGGAAAGAUCCCAGUCAGAUAUUGAACACUUCAUAUUCAACAUGCAGAAUCAAAACAAUCAAACUGCU